GUCGAGCGAAUGGAUUAAGAGCUUGCUCUUAUGAAGUUAGCGGCGGACGGGUGAGUAACACGUGGGUAACCUGCCCAUAAGACUGGGAUAACUCCGGGAAACCGGGGCUAAUACCGGAUAACAUUUUGAACUGCAUGGUUCGAAAUUGAAAGGCGGCUUCGGCUGUCACUUAUGGAUGGACCCGCGUCGCAUUAGCUAGUUGGUGAGGUAACGGCUCACCAAGGCAACGAUGCGUAGCCGACCUGAGAGGGUGAUCGGCCACACUGGGACUGAGACACGGCCCAGACUCCUACGGGAGGCAGCAGUAGGGAAUCUUCCGCAAUGGACGAAAGUCUGACGGAGCAACGCCGCGUGAGUGAUGAAGGCUUUCGGGUCGUAAAACUCUGUUGUUAGGGAAGAACAAGUGCUAGUUGAAUAAGCUGGCACCUUGACGGUACCUAACCAGAAAGCCACGGCUAACUACGUGCCAGCAGCCGCGGUAAUACGUAGGUGGCAAGCGUUAUCCGGAAUUAUUGGGCGUAAAGCGCGCGCAGGUGGUUUCUUAAGUCUGAUGUGAAAGCCCACGGCUCAACCGUGGAGGGUCAUUGGAAACUGGGAGACUUGAGUGCAGAAGAGGAAAGUGGAAUUCCAUGUGUAGCGGUGAAAUGCGUAGAGAUAUGGAGGAACACCAGUGGCGAAGGCGACUUUCUGGUCUGUAACUGACACUGAGGCGCG
rnacentral:rRNA from 1 species